rnacentral:rRNA from 1 species
UACAGGGGGGGCAAGCGUUGUUCGGAAUUACUGGGCGUAAAGGGUUUGUAGGUGGCUUGCUAAGUCAGACGUGAAAUCCCUCAGCUUAACUGGGGAACUGCGUCUGAUACUGGCGAGCUUGAGUGCAGGAGAGGAACGCGGAAUUCCAGGUGUAGCGGUGAAAUGCGUAGAUAUCUGGAGGAACACCCGUGGCGAAGGCGGCUCUCUGGGACGGUACUGACGCUGAGACGCGAAAGCGUGGGGAGCGAACAGG